AUAAAGCUUCAUUGAUCACCAUUAAAAAUGGCUUAAUUAAAUGGACAGAUAUCUCCUAUCUAUUUAAGUUGGCUAGGUUCAAUGUUUUAAAGAUAUCAGAUCUCCCAAAUAGAUUCAAUAUAAUCCAAUAAGAAUCCUAAUAGGUUUUUGGUAGAACUUAAAAUGCUAAAUCCCAAGUUUACAUAAAACUGGCCAUUUAUAUGUUUUAUAUAAAAGGGCCAAGAAUAGCUAAGACAUUCAUGAAAUGGAAGAAUCAAGAGGGAAGACUUGGUCUAACAAAUAUCAAGAAUUAUUGUGAAACUGAAGUAACAAAGGCAAUGUAGUAAAAGAAAGGACAGAUGUGAGCAGCUCAAUGAAAAAACAUAUGCGUACAUACUCGGAAGCAGCACUAUAGAAGUAAGGAGAUGACUAGAUUCCCAAUAAAUUAUGAUAAGAACAUUGAAUACCUGCAUAAGAAAAAUGAAAUUGACACUUAUCUUACAACAUAGCCAAAAUUAGUUCCAGUUGGAUUAAAAGAAAAAGUGUAAUAACGUCAUAAAACAUUCAGAAUAUAAGAUAGAAGCAUCUCUUCAUGGUCUCAAGGCAGGGAAGAAUUUCCUAAUCUCCUCAACAAUUAAGGAAGAGAUGAUGUUCAUAAUUACAUCAAAUUUAAGAUAUAUUUUCAUCAAAAUAAACCUUACAAGGGCGAAAAGAUAGUUAUGUAAAGAGACAUUAUUACAAAUUUAUAUCAACAUCACUAUUCAAACCUAUAUUCAUAUUUAUAUAACCAAGAAAGGUUAUUUACAGAACUUGCAAAUCAAUAAGAGAAAAUCAAUAAGAUACAAAUCAAUAAAAGAUAAGUCAAUAGAAUAAUGGGUAAAAAACAUAAAUAAGCACCUUAUAAAAGAGGAUAUACAUUUGGAUAUUAAAUAUGUAAACAUUGUUAAAUUUCAUCUUUAAACAGAGAAAAGCACAUUAAGACUACAAUGAAAUAUAUACUCACAAGAAUGACUAAAAUGAAAACACCGAGACUAUCAAGUGCUAGCAAGGCAACAAAUCAACAGGAACUCUCAAGAAAACCUCUGAAAACAGGAAUGUGCAUUAGUUUCCUAUUGCUGAUGUAACAAAUUACCACAAAUGUACUGACUUAAAACAAUGCAAAUUUAUUCUCUUACAGUUGUGGAGGCUAGAAGUCAAGAAUCAUUUUCACUUGGGCUAAAGUCAAGGUGUCAGCAGAGGAAAUCUGCAGGAUAACUCAGGAGAAGGCUUUAACUGUGGAGUGCCCAGAAUGAGAAACGCUCUGAGGAGGAAGACAAACAAGUACCCCUCUUCUGCCCUGGACUUCAGUUAGGGAGCUCCAAACCUGAGCACACACUGUCAGAGUAGCUGGAGAGGGGAAUAAAGGUGAGACCACCUUACAGGAAGCCCGAUUCUAAGAACUGAACAUAAAUUUGAAAAUAACUCUCUUGAUUUUAUAUUAUUUUUAAAAGAACUGUCCCUGGAACUGUGAUCACAUAUUCCCAAAACAUCUGAGCGUAUUGUGAUACCUAAAAACAAAAGCAUUUGUUAUCUUCUAUGCCAGAUUUUAGACUUAAAAAUCUGAUAUUUAAAAGAGGGUUUUCUGAAAAAACUUUCCAACACAGCGAAAAUAAUAACUCAAUAGCACACACACAGAAACAAAAGAAAGAAAUUGCAGACUAUAAAAGGAAUUUGCUUUUACUAGCAUAGAAGUGAGAAAAAUAGGGAGUAGAAAAGAAUUUACUAAAUUUUUGCUCUACCUAAUUUAGUUCUUAUAAAUAAUUUCUUUCCACCAAAAAAGAAUGCAAUGAAGGUUUUCCAACUCAUUCUUUUGUUCCAGAGAUUUAUUGCUGUGAAAAUGUUAGCUCUCAUCUGAUUUAGUGUCUGAGUGGUGGUGUCCUCUGGUAGAAAGAGGAAUCCCUUGACAAGCCCAGGCAGUCUUGGCCCCUGGAGGUCUUCCAAUAAUUAGAGUCAAGCAAAUCCCUGGAGGAAACCAGUAAGUCUGAGAAGCAUUCCUCUUGUCUCUCUGUCGUUCUCUGCGCACUUGGAGUUAUUCUGAUAAAGCCACUCUGCGUCUCAAGAACUCAGCUUGCUAAGCUGUUGAAACUAAGGUAGAGAUAAUUGACAGGAGAUGAAAGGGCCUGGAUGCUGGGCUGGAAGUACUGGGGGUGUGAGCAGGUCUGAGCUAUGAGCUGCAGUAUCAUGUAAGUACAGACAGGCAGUGUAAACACGGUGAUUACGGGACUGCGCUUUCAGGUGAGUAGACUAUGUGGGAGUAAAUUCCAGGCUGCUUUUCAAUUGAACAAACAACAUUUUCAGGUUCCUGCUGUUUCGUUUGAUUCAUUUCUACUGCCAGGCUCUAGCGAUAUAAAAUCGUAUGAAAGUGCCCAUUUUGCAAUGUUCUGGGAUUAUGUCCUGCAGCAUAAGAGCCCAGCCAGUCUGCCCAGUGUCUACGUUUGAUCACACAAAUUCAGCUGUGCUAUAGAAUAACUGCUCUUCAAUUAGGAACGCUGUCAAUACAAUUGAUUCUUCCAGAAACCCUGGGGCAGAUUGGUCAUCUGUUGAACACACUUGCAGAGUCACUGCCUACUCAUCCCAAAAGGGAUGGUCAGAAGUUACUUAUCCCAGUAACUUCAAGACCUGCAUAAUGGCUGAAUCUGCCUCUCCUAAUCUGUCUUUCUAUUCCCUUCCAAAGGUAACCUCCACCCUGUGAGGCCAGCCUUGGGCCUGCUGGAAUUAUCCCUGACUUUAGGUCAUUGCUCAUAUAUGACAUUUAUUCCCCAUCAAGGGUUUCAUUUAUUUUACUAUUUAGCUAUUUCCUAGGAUUAAGGUGGUGAUUUACCUUAUAGUAAGCUGUGAAAGUUCUUAUUAUUUUAGUCAACACAUUAAACCUAGAGAGGCAUCUAAAUUUUAUGACUCUAAUUAGAAAUGAAUUCCUAGAAUUUUUCUCUAAAUCAUCUGAGGUGGUGGUAUCCCACUAACCCUAACACAAGGGGACAUGUACACAGAGAACUGAGCAUAGUAGAUUGGACGUUACCUUGAAUUUUCUUUAAAGUCCUGGAUCUCUUUGGGGAGGACUGGUAGAUGUCCCUAUGAGUUCAUGGAUGUAAUGCUCUCAGAAUAGUGUCUGUGGCCUAGUAAACACCUAGUGUUAGCCCUUAUUUUUUCUUCACUUUUCACUGUUCUCCUGUAAAGACACAGCUGGAUAUCUGUUGAGUCUUACUAAUAACCAACGUGAAUGGAGAGGUGAGAAGACUCCACUCCACUGCUAACUGAGGUGCUAAAUGAGAAGAUAACACUACCUCACCUGACUGUACGUCACUGCCCUCUAAAUUCUGUUGAUUCAGGGAUUAUGGAGAAAGGAGAUGAACACAUUCCUCCCCACUUUCUGGGAGCCCAGUCUGGCCACAUUUCCAGCUGUGAGCAAGUGGUGGAUGUCCUCAGCCUGUACAUGUUGAUGUUUCACACGUGCUGAGAUUCAGAGACAGCAGGGCACCCCUCCUAUGGCCAAUUCCCAGGGAAGGGCAGGAUUGAGAUUUCCUUUUUAGCCACUGGCGAGACCAAGGUUAACUUGAAAAAUGAUCCAGGAUGCACAAAAAAUUGAAAACACACUGGCAGGACCAAGUGGCUCACUCCUGUAAUCCCAGCACUUUAGGAGGUCGA